CAAUCCGAGAAUUUCACCUCCAACUGUUGAAUACAAAUGCCCCCAGUUGUCCCUGUCAAUCAAAACUGGAAUUCUGAAACCAAAAAAGAACAACAGUACUGCAUUAUUCCAUGCUGAGAUAUUCAAAGCAAUUGCUUGCUGAGAGCACCCUGAUUUCUUCAAAGUACACCCACUUGUACAUCACACCACACAAUCAAGUGCAGACGCAAUGCUAAGUGGCAUGCAAAAGCAGAGCCAUACAUACACACCCAGCGGGCAGACUGGUCAGUUUUUGCAAACAUCAAACUACGAGCUUUUUAACCGCAACAACUUUAAUAUACGCCAUUGGAGCUGGAAUUACCG
rnacentral:misc_RNA from 1 species